rnacentral:rRNA from 1 species
GUGGUGUCAACUGAUUUGAAGAGCUUGCUCAGAUAUGACGAUGGACAUUGCAAAGAGUGGCGAACGGGUGAGUAACACGUGGGAAACCUACCUCUUAGCAGGGGAUAACAUUUGGAAACAGAUGCUAAUACCGUAUAACAAUGACAACCGCAUGGUUGUUAUUUAAAAGAUGGUUCUGCUAUCACUAAGAGAUGGUCCCGCGGUGCAUUAGCUAGUUGGUAAGGUAAUGGCUUACCAAGGCGAUGAUGCAUAGCCGAGUUGAGAGACUGAUCGGCCACAAUGGGACUGAGACACGGCCCAUACUCCUACGGGAGGCAGCAGUAGGGAAUCUUCCACAAUGGGCGAAAGCCUGAUGGAGCAACGCCGCGUGUGUGAUGAAGGGUUUCGGCUCGUAAAACACUGUUGUAAGAGAAGAAUGACAUUGAGAGUAACUGUUCAAUGUGUGACGGUAUCUUACCAGAAAGGAACGGCUAAAUACGUGCCAGCAGCCGCGGUAAUACGUAUGUUCCAAGCGUUAUCCGGAUUUAUUGGGCGUAAAGCGAGCGCAGACGGUUAUUUAAGUCUGAAGUGAAAGCCCUCAGCUCAACUGAGGAAUUGCUUUGGAAACUGGAUGACUUGAGUGCAGUAGAGGAAAGUGGAACUCCAUGUGUAGCGGUGAAAUGCGUAGAUAUAUGGAAGAACACCAGUGGCGAAGGCGGCUUUCUGGACUGUAACUGACGUUGAGGCUCGAAAGUGUGGGUAGCAAACAGGAUUAG